AACAAGGCUUCAGAUGUAACAAAUUUCUUCCUCCUCUUUGCCAGACUCUGGGGCAUGAGAUCAAUAUUCAGAGUUUGUAAUAGUGUCACACACAUGACAGAGUUGUGUAUUUUGUUUAUUCUGUGACUUCAGCAAAGUGCCAGAUACUAUUAUUGGGUUCUUUCUGGACUCUGCCUUGCAUCAGUGCUCUCUGUCCCAGGCGAGGAUUAGCACAGAGGCGAUGAAUUUAGCCCAGAUUCAUGACAAACAAAAGCUAAAGAAAUUUUGGGAGCAGAAGAUAGAGCGACACCAUCAGAUGACUGGGAAAGAAGAAGCCAGAAUGAAGAGGAGUGCUUUAUCAAAGUUAAAGAACGAGUGGAUCCAGAGGCUGCUCGUUCGGAGCCAAGGCAUGAAUGAAAACAAGGAUGCGGCGGAAAUGAAAAAGGAUUGAGGCCUUUUUUAUUUUGAGGAUUGAGGAUAGAAAACUUGAUUAUUUUCCCAUCAUAGGUGCAUUCAGUUCAGUUUGCCUCCCUCCCCCACUGAAUGUUUUAUAAAAUAUACCAUAAGCCUAAAUCUAUAUCGUGUGCUUAUGUACCUUUGUUUAGAAUGAUUAGGAUGGGGUUAUGUGCGCGAUUUACUGUGAGCAUGCUGGUCACGUUCUUUCAUGGAGACGUGACUGAAUGUCUAGUAGCUUUGUAUUGCAAACUUUGACCGACACAUGCCAUGUUAUAAAAAUUAAAAAAGAGCACUUUCAAAAAAACACCAGCUACUGUCACUUUUGUGAGAAAGGUGAAGAAAGCUGGGCAUUUUAUCCAAAUGUGGAGCUCUACGUCCAGCCAUGAUGACCGUCACAGGGCUCUGGAUGUUUCAACCAAAUUGUAAACAAAUACUUGUAGACACAUAGUUCGCAGAAACUACUGUACCACAUCUAAUGCUAAUGUGAAGCUGGUAUAAUGUGUAUGUAAUUAGACAAAUGUUUAUACUCAUUAUACAGGGUCACUUGAAAGUUUGCGAACCCUUUAGAAAGUUUUUUUGCUCUGCAUAAAUACGACUCAAAACACCAUCACAUUUUCCCACAGGUCCCACAAGCAGACAACGUGAACUUAAUCAAAUAAAAAAUAUUAUACUUGGUAAUUCUUUUACUUAGAUUCCAAUAUUAGAUAUAUGAGUGGCAAAAGUAGGUGUAACCUCUAGGAUUAAUAUUUAAUUUCAAGAGUUUAUCUGAUUUCAAUCAGGCAUCUCUGGAAAAUUGUCCGUAGUGUGUGAGUGUGUGAGUGAAUGAGUGUGUGUGUGUGCCCUGCGAUGGGUUGGCACUCCGUCCAGGGUGUAUCCUGCCUUGAUGCCCGAUGACGCCUGAGAUAGGCACAGGCUCCCCGUGACCCGAGAAGUUCGGAUAAGCGGUAGAAAAUGAAUGAAUGAAUGAAUGUCAUUCCAUUGAUUAAAAACAAUCAGGUGUCUGAAAGAACCCUGUUUUAUUUAAAGGACAUAGAUAUAUCAAAAUCUGAUGUUCACGAUCACAACACAUUUAUAGAAGUGGAUCAUGGCAAAGAAAGAUUUCUGUGGACUUCAGAAAGAGUUAUUAUUGCUCAUCUGGCUGGAAAAGGUUACAAAACCAUCUGUAUUGAGAUUGGACUCUACAAAUCUAUCUGUACAAAUGGAGAAAAUUUAAGACCAUUAGUACACUCCCCAGAAUUAGUCACCCAACAAAUAUCAAUGUCUGUUGGGUCAGAAAGGAACCAAGGGUAACUUCUAAACAACUAAAGGCCUCUUUCCUUUGUUACUUUGGCUAAGGUUAAUGCUUGUGUGUCUGCCAUCAGGUGAACAAUGAACAACCUUGGUGUGCAUGGCACAGUGGAAAGGAUAAAGCCUAAAGUUUGAUAAAGAUCAUAUGGACAGGGGACUAGUGGAAAAAUAGUUUGUGGAUGAAUGAGAUCAAAAUAAAACCUUUUGGUUCAAAUAUGAAGCAUUAUUUUUUUUUUUUUUGAAAGACUAAUACCGAAUUUGAGCAUAAUAACAUUAUAGCAUCUGUGAACCAUGGUGGUGGUGGUGGUGGUGGUGGUAUCAUGCUUUGGGCCUGUAUUGCUGCAUCAGGUCCAGGACAGCUUGUCAUUAUUGAUAGAACAAUGAAUUCAGAAUGAUACCAAUGAUUUCUAAAGGAAAAUUGCAAGACAUCUGUCCAUGAACUGAAUCUCAAGGGAAAACGGUUCAUACACCAAGACGACAAGCACCCAAGUCUGUCUACAAAAGAAUGAAGUCAAAUCCGUUACUUUAAUCCAAACGAAAAAAUUGUGGAAAGAACUGAAUCAAGUAGUUCCUCUGAGGAAACACAGAAAAAUCCCUGUCUUGAAGCCCUUCUGUACAGAUGGGAUAAAUUUCUUCCAAGCCGACGUGCAGGACUGAUCAACAGAUACUGGAAACUUCACUUGUAGUUAUCGCAAGUCGCAGAUAUGUACUGUAAUGCUGGAACAUUUUUCCCAAUAAUUAUAAGUAUAUUAUUUUUGGCUCAUUUGUGUUCAGUUUGUUUACUUUUAGGACCUCUGUGAAAAUCGUUUUGUGUAGAAAUAUAGAAACGCUUUAAGGGUUCACAAACUUUCAAGUUACACAGUGUCUUUACAAUACAUAUUGGCAGUGGUUUUAGUUUCCUGUCUUUAGUUUCUUCCUUUCUCUCUCUCUCUCUCCUCUGAAUCCUAACCAGUAAUAGAAAUGAUUAGAGAGAGAAAUAACAUACAAGUUGUAAAAACAUGCA